rnacentral:rRNA from 1 species
UACGUAGGGUGCGAGCGUUGUCCGGAAUUAUUGGGCGUAAAGGGCUCGUAGGCGGCUUGUCGCGUCGGGAGUGAAAUCCACUGGCUUAACUGGUGGCUUGCUUUCGAUACGGGCAGACUGGAGGUAUGCAGGGGAGAACGGAAUUCCUGGUGUAGCGGUGAAAUGCGCAGAUAUCAGGAGGAACACCGGUGGCGAAGGCGGUCUCUGGGCCGAUGUCCUGACGCUGAGGAGCGAAAGCGUGGGGAGCGAACAGG